ACUUCCGGUCGGUGGGGUAGGCGGAAGGGGUGGGACCGCGUUGGCCAAAGGCUUUUCCCUGGGACCUGGUGAAGAAUUGCCUUGUGACUUACUUUGACCAACAAAUAUGUCAGAAGUGACGAUGUGUGACUUAUGGAACCUUGACUUCCAGAGACCUUGCACUUUCACUCUCUUGGGACCUGCCUUUCCCAGGUAAGAAACCUAGACUACUCUGCUGGAGAGCCACAUGGAGGAGAACCGAGGCACUCUAGCUGACACGUAGGCCAUCUUGGGUCAUCCUCAUCCAGGUGACUGCAGCCACAUGAGCACAGGUGAGACCACAGAAAAACUGCCCAGCUGAGCCCAGUUAAAAUUGCAGAGUUGUGAGUAAAUAAAUGGUUAUUGUUUUAA